rnacentral:lncRNA from 1 species
AAUUCGGCCAAAGAAAACUGAACAUCCCUCUGAAAAUUCUGAGUGGGGAUUAAGAAACAGAGACUAUGCUACAGACCAGUGCCCUUAGAGCAUGUGCUUGCUGACACCACUCUAAGUGGCAGUAGCAGAAGUCAUCUGGUACAAAGAAAAGGGUUUAUAUGUAGACAUAGGAAGUAGCAUCGAACAUCAAAAUGGAACACAAAUUGGCAAGGGCUUGAGGAAUCACAGCAGAUAGAUUUCAGCAAAGAAGCCGAAGGAUGUCCUGGGAAUUAUCUGGUAAGGGCCCAGCCCACUACAAGGGAGGGGCUCCAGGAGCAGUGACAAUAGCUGUGGCAACACUGUCCUGGAAGGCAGGUCUUCUCAUUCCCACAUUAUUGCUCAUCUUGAUGCCUCAAAAUUCACAGCAUCAGCCACAGCUAUAAAUGCUUCCAUGAGAGAUAAGAGGGUUGAAAGAUGUCUGGUGCUUUUGCUGUUAAGGCAAUCUUGAGGCAGAAGUAUAAUGUCUACUAGCCAUCUGACUCAAAGUCCAGAUGGUCCAAGUCAAAGCCACACAUAGCUACCUUAUGACAUCAGGAACUAGCACCAAAACAGACUAAGUAAUUUGGAAGAUGUUCACACAGCAACUCAAAAAUUAGUAGCUCUCACAAUUGCUGCUCAAACCCUCCACUUCCACAUUUAUAAAAUGUUGUCCACUCACAUGCUAACAGGGACAGGCAAGACACAUGAGUGAGUGGCAGCAGGAAAUGCUAUAACCUUUGGAAAAUGGGUGUCAAAUAACUCACCUAAAGAGAGGAGCCACUAUCUAGUGAAGACAACUGUCAACAAGUGAGAACAGAUGUCCCAUGUCACCAGAUUUUCCCAUCCUUCCAUAUAACCUGGAAAUACACAGCUGAAGCGUAUUCACUGGAGUUUUUAACUUGACAACUAAUACAACAUUCUUAAUGGUCAAAACUGACCUGGGAGCUAUUUCAUGUGGCCCACAGGCUACAAAUGUGGACCAUCUGCAAAGCUCUCCUUCAGCCUGAAUUGUCUUGGUUCAGUCAUUGAGUCCAGUCUCUUUGUUCUCAAUACAAGGAGUCCCAUUCCCUGAACUGCAGUCAGGAACUCAUGAGCUAUGUAAAGGCAAAGAAGCGCCUGUCAGUCCUAAGAUGUGCCCUCUUCCCUCCCUGUAUCUCAUUUGUCAGUGUUCAGUUGUCCCCACUUGAGCAGUUCAAGUACAUCCAUAUGCUCUCUUCCGCCCAUAAUUCAAAAGUCCUCCAGUUCAGUUUGUUGGUAGAAGUACUCAAUGCCUAAAAGAUUUGUGACAUCUCUUUUGGACGGCUACUUAAGCUCCUGUAGCCACCAAAUAAAAACACAUACCAUCAGUAUCAUGACCAAACAUUUACUAGGUACCCUUCACCAAGCUAGCUGCCAUACAUAACCUGCCAUCCAGGCCACCUCCCCAUGUACGCAGUGCUGUAUAGUGAUGACCAGUACAUUGUCUGAGUCAGUCUGCCUGUUUAAACGCAAUUCCUUGACUUAUGAGCUGUGUGACUUUGUACAAGUCAUUCUGCUUCUCUGUAUCUCAAUAACUUCAACUAUAAAAAGAUGAUUAUGGAGUUCCCAUCGUGGCGCAGUGGCUAACGAAUCUGACUAUGAACCAUGAGGUUGCAGGUUCGUUCCCUGCCCUCACUCAGUGGGUUAAAGAUCCGGUGUUGCUGUGAGCUGUGGUGUAGGUCACAGACGCUCGGAUCCCGUGUUGCUGUGGCUCUGGCACAGUGGCUACAGCUCCGAUUCGACCCCUAGCCUGGGAACCUCCAUAUGCCACAGGAGCAGCUCAAGAAAAGGCCAAAAAAAAAAAAAAAAAGAUUAUAAGAGUUCCCAUUGUGGCUCAGUGGUAACAAACCCAAGUAGUAUCCAUGAGUAUGUGGGUUGAUCUCUGGCCCUGCUCAGUGGGUUAAGGAGGAUCCCACAUUGCCACGAGCUGUGGUAUAGGUCAUAGACAUGGCUCAGAUCUGGUGUUGCUGUGGAUGCGGCAUGGGCUGGCAGCUAGAACCCACAAAAUGGCGCCUCCAUAUAACAUGUCUAAUAUGGGUUUGCUGGUAUAAUAAUCCAAGAGAACUAAUUGGCGUGAUUAGUAUGAAUACCACCAAAAUGGGUGCAGAUAAACAGAGAGGCAGAAUUCAAAGGCAAAACAAAGGCUCUGAGCUGCCUGACUGAAUCCUACUAUCUCCCACCCUCAAUCACUCAUGACUCCCCACAAGGUCACGGAAAGAAAGAAAUGCACAUAGGACCAAGCAAGGUAGCACUGUAUUACUGGCUGGGCUGCAUUUAUCAGGCCACUGAGGCCAAAGUGGGUGUGGCCUGGGGCUCAGGCUGGGGUCCCAACGUGGACCUCUGGAGAAUGAGGCUAUGAUAAGUACGGAGGAGGAUAGUUACACAGGUAGUUGUAGAAGUGUCAAUAAUGGACCACAGGUAGAGAGAGAAACCUAGGGGACUUUGGGAGACCAUUUUAAGUAAAUAAUUUCUUGAAGGCCAUCAGAAUAGGCAGGCUUCCUUGACUAGUGGAGGCAGGAGAUAAGCCUCAGGUCAUUGGGUGGUAGAUGGGAUGAGGCCUGCAUUCAGGUUCAGGCCAAGGGCAGGAGUUUAAGGACAACCCUUCUGCUGAUUUGAAUAAGCACCAUGACAGUCCUAGUUUGACUUUUAGGGUCAAAUACUCUCUUACCAGAUACCAAAGAGGAACUAUUACUGGAAGAAAGAGGAAGAAGCAGUCUUUUCCCACCUCCACUACACUUGGAUUAUAAAACUGUAGCCCACCUAAUCCUCAGGGCAGAGCCUCCUUCCUGCCAGUUAGCAUCCCUCACAAGCAUCCUACCUUAACAAAUAUAUUUCUUGCCAAUCAUUUUGUCUCUCAUUGAAUUCCUUCUGCACGGAGGCACAAAGAACCUGAACCUCAGUAAGUCCAGACAAGGGUGAGUGAUUCUAAUUUAAAAACGGUGGGUUCAAGUCCCAAUCUGCAUUUAGGAUGGGUUCGAGUCCUGGCACAUGGGUUCAAGUCCCACUGUGACCCAGCCCCUAUAGCUACAAGUGGUCUAGAAUUCAACUAUAUCAAAGGCAACUGUGCUUCCUUUCCCUCAAAUCAACAUUUUUCUUUUCUUUUUAGGGCCACACCCAUAGCAGGUGGAAGUUCCCAGGCUAAGAAUCAGAUCAGAGCCACAGCUGCUGGCCAAUGCCACAGCCACAGCAACUCGGGAUCUGAGCCAUGUCUGUGACCUACACUACAGCCACAGCAAUGCCAGAUCCAUAACCCACUGAGACAGGCCAGGGUUCAAACACACAUCCUCAUGGAUACUAGUCAGGUUUGUUACCACUGAGCCACAACGGGAAUUCUCCCAAAUCAACACUUAAACAUCUGAUGCAGCCCUGCCUGGGGAGAGGUGGAGCUCAAGGCCCAUCCACCUACACACACACACACACACACACACACACACUUCUAGAGGCCACAGAUAAACAAGAGUUCUCCCAUUUCCAUUGUACAGAAGGGAAUUAGUAUAAGCAACUACGUGUGGUCUAUUCUGGAUGGACAGCAACUUCCAGAACACUUUGGGGACAAGGGCAAGGAGGGGACAGAUGUCAGGCCCUCUCAUGUUCCCAGGUUCCUAGAGGAAAGAUUAAGGGGAGUGCCAAGGCGGUCCCCUUGAGCUGUGGACACUUUAAUGGCCCAGAAUUUGAUCAUCACUGUCUCUUCCUCCCUGGAAAUGAAGUGAACCUGAACCUGGUUCACUACCUGGAACCUGAGCCCUGCUUGGAGAAGAGGAAAGCAGGGAGGGGGGAGGCAGAGAGAGGAACCUUGAGCUUCUGCCAGAGGCCAAAACAAUAAACACAAUAGGAGUGACCCUGACAUCUCUGUGGCCUUCAGGUUUCCUUACAUGUAAAGUGAGGACUAGACCAGGGUAAGUUCCCUUCUGCUUUACACUUUAGCAACUCUAAGGCCAUGAGCUCAGGGGCCACAUCAAAUGUCUGUUCAAGUAUAAAACCAUAUGGCCAUAGCCUUGGUCCUUAGAGAAGCCACCACAAACUGAAACACUGAACUUCACCCACCUAAUUAUAUGCCUUCACUGUACCCUGCUCUUGUUCCUUGAAGAAUGUCCACCCACGUGGGGAGCUUUCAGAUGUGGAACUCUGUGUCAGGUAGAAAACCACUUCCAAAAACUAGCUCUCUGGGUACAGAAGAUAAGGGCAUCACACUGGUCAAGGGUACAGGGACUUCAGGCACUUCUGACUUGCUGAAAACAAUUACCAAUUACUCUGUGAUUCUUCAUGCUUGUUCUCAGCUCAAAUUCCACCUGGACGUUCGAGAGUUAGCAGAGCAUGUAAAGGGGGGUGUUUUUCACCUGCUCAGACAUUUUUCAGAUGCUUUUUGUAAUUGGCUAACUCAAACAUAGCUUUAUUUUACACCUACCAACAUGUUCUGAUAUUGAUGGGAAAAGGAAGUUGACAGGAAAGGGAGAUGUUACCUUCAUUUGGGCUCUAACAUGAAAGGCUGGGGAAGACCUGAUGAGGGAUUUGGCUUACCAACACAGAUAGAGCCCCCUAAAUGCAAGAGGCUGCUCAAAGGCAAAAAAAUAAAUAAAUAAAUAGAGCUUCAUAUGAGACAUAAAAAGGACAGAAUCAACAAUUCAAAUUCAAUUUGACAAUGCCAGUUUGCAACACAAGUACAGUUUUAGGUUAUGCUAAAUAUUUCUUUGCAAUGAAAAAAAAAAUUGAGAGCUGGCUGUAAUUUCUGACACACCAUAUUGCAAUGCCAUU